GAUGAACGCUGGCGGCGUGCCUAAUACAUGCAAGUCGAGCGAACGGACGAGAAGCUUGCUUCUCUGAUGUUAGCGGCGGACGGGUGAGUAACACGUGGAUAACCUACCUAUAAGACUGGGAUAACUUCGGGAAACCGGAGCUAAUACCGGAUAAUAUUUUGAACCGCAUGGUUCAAAAGUGAAAGACGGUCUUGCUGUCACUUAUAGAUGGAUCCGCGCUGCAUUAGCUAGUUGGUAAGGUAACGGCUUACCAAGGCAACGAUGCAUAGCCGACCUGAGAGAGUGAUCGGCCACACUGGAAGUGAGACACGGUCCAGACUCCUACGGGAGGCAGCAGUAGGGAAUCUUCCGCAAUGGGCGAAAGCCUGACGGAGCAACGCCGCGUGAGUGAUGAAGGUCUUCGGAUCGUAAAACUCUGUUAUUAGGGGAGAACAUAUGUGUAAGUAACUGUGCACAUCUUGACGGUACCUAAUCAGAAAGCCACGGCUAACUACGUG
rnacentral:rRNA from 1 species